rnacentral:rRNA from 1 species
UACAGAGGUCCCAAGCGUUGUUCGGAUUCACUGGGCGUAAAGGGUGCGUAGGCGGUCGGGUAAGUCUGAUGUGAAAUCUCACAGCUUAACUGUGAAACUGCAUUGGAUACUAUUCGGCUUGAGAGCUGGAGGGGGGACUGGAAUUCUUGGUGUAGCAGUGAAAUGCGUAGAUAUCAAGAGGAACACCAGUGGCGAAGGCGAGUCCCUGGACAACUUCUGACGCUGAGGCACGAAAGCUAGGGGAGCAAACAGG